AUGUCAGGGGCACAAGGAGCACAACCAAAAGAGUCAAAGACAGCAACAACAUACGAAUCAAAAGAAGGAGGACAGAAUCGUACAAGAACUGAUUUGCUUUCAAAGGAAGAUCAAGGUGGCAUUCAAGUGGAUAAGCUUCAAGACAAGGUUCAUGAUCCUGCUGGCAAAGGUGGUCCUGUCUUUGGUGCUGGUAGAGAUGAAAAUAAAAAAGACCUUGGAGUCACAGGCACUGGCUAG